UACGGGGGGAGCAAGCGUUGUUCGGAUUUACUGGGCGUAAAGGGCGCGUAGGCGGCCACCGCAAGUCGACUGUGAAAUCUCCGGGCUUAACCCGGAAAGGUCAGCCGAUACUGCGGGGCUAGAGUGCAGAAGGGGCAACUGGAAUUCUCGGUGUAGCGGUGAAAUGCGUAGAUAUCAGGAGGAACACCGGUGGCGAAGGCGGGUCUCUGGGCAGUAACUGACGCUGAGGAGCGAAAGCGUGGGGAGCGAACAGG
rnacentral:rRNA from 1 species